rnacentral:rRNA from 1 species
AGUGAACGCUGGCGGUAGGCCUAACACAUGCAAGUCGAACGGCAGCACAGUAAGAGCUUGCUCUUACGGGUGGCGGGUGGCGGACGGGUGAGGAAUACAUCGGAAUCUACUUUUUCGUGGGGGAUAACGUAGGGAAACUUACGCUAAUACCGCAUACGACCUACGGGUGAAAGCAGGGGAUCUUCGGACCUUGCGCGAUUGAAUGAGCCGAUGUCGGAUUAGCUAGUUGGCGGGGUAAAGGCCCACCAAGGCGACGAUCCGUAGCUGGUCUGAGAGGAUGAUCAGCGACACUGGAACUGAGACACGGUCCAGACUCUUACGGGAGGCAGCAGUGGGGAAUAUUGGACAAUGGGCGCAAGCCUGAUCCAGCCAUACCGCGUGGGUGGAGAAGGCCUUCGGGUUGUAAAGCCCUUUUGUUGGGAAAGAAAAGCAGCAGGUUAAUACCCCGCUGUUCUGACGGUACCCAAAGAAUAAGCACCGGCUAACUUCGUG